GGGCGGUUCGCGCAGUCUGUAGCGCGUGGGUCUCAUAGUCCCGUCGCGAGUUCGGUCCUUGCAGUGCCUA